UACGAAGGUGGCAAGCGUUGUUCGGAUUUACUGGGCGUACAGGGAGCGUAGGCGGUUGGAUAAGCCCUCCGUGAAAUCUCCAGGCUUAACCUGGAAAGUGCAGAGGGGGCUGUUCAGCUAGAGGAUGGGAGAGGAGCGCGGAAUUCCCGGUGUAGCGGUGAAAUGCGUAGAGAUCGGGAGGAAGGCCGGUGGCGAAGGCGGCGCUCUGGAACAUUUCUGACGCUGAGGCUCGAAAGCGUGGGGAGCAAACAGG
rnacentral:rRNA from 1 species